CAAAAGUUUGGUCCUGGCUUUAAUAUCAGCUUUAACCCAAUUUACACAUGCAAGCCUCCGCAGCCCCGUGAGAAUGCCCUCAAUCCCCCGUCCGGGGACGAGGAGCCGGUAUCAGGCACAUAAAUUUAGCCCAAGACGCCUUGCUUAGCCACACCCCCAAGGGAAUUCAGCAGUGAUAAACAUUAAAACAUAAGUGAAAACUUGACUUAGUCAGGGUUAAGAGGGCCGGUAAAACUCGUGCCAGCCACCGCGGUUAUACGAGAGACCCUAGUUGAUAUAUUCGGCGUAAAGAGUGGUUAUGGAAAACAAGCACUAAAGCCAAAGAGCCCUCAGGCCGUUAUACGCACCCGGGGCCUCGAACCACUAUUACGAAAGUAGCUUUACCCUCGCCCACCAGAACCCACGAGAGCUGGGACACAAACUGGGAUUAGAUACCCCACUAUG
rnacentral:rRNA from 1 species